UACAGAGGUCCCAAGCGCUGUUCGGAUUUACUGGGCGUACAGGGCGCGUAGGCGGUUGGAUAAGCCCUCCGUGAAAUCUCCAGGCUUAACCUGGAAAGUGCAGAGGGGACUGUUCAGCUAGAGGAUGGGAGAGGAGCGCGGAAUUCCCGGUGUAGCGGUGAAAUGCGUAGAGAUGACAUAGAACACCUAUUGCGAAGGCAGCUAACUACGCGAAUAUUGACGCUGAGGCACGAAAGCGUGGGGAUCAAACAGG
rnacentral:rRNA from 1 species